GGGGUUGUAGCUCAGUUGGUAGAGCGCUCGCUUCGCAUGCGAGAGGUCUGGGGUUCGACUCCCCACAGCUCCA
rnacentral:tRNA from 1 species